CAAAUGCAAUGCCGAUGGCAGCUGAACCAGAAAACAUAACCAAAAAGUUUCCAACCGCUGAGAAGAAAGCCUCCAAGGAUGAGCUGUUGGCAUACUUUGGACCGCCAAGAGACAGGAUGGUGCUGGGACAAAAAGUAAAGUGAGAUCUGAAGAGCACAAUUACACGAAGCUACUCUGGCAGUUAACUGAGGUGAUAGCAAGCACUGUGCUAAAUGGAUCACAAGGUUGAACUUACUUUGUCAUGACAAUGGAGACAGCAUCAUUCAAGAUACUUUCUCCAAACACCAACAUGUUCAAGGUGGGGUCGACGUCAAGGGCAUGGAAGAUGGCCAGGGUGGCAACAGGAUCAACUGCUGAGAUGAGCGAGCCAAAGGCAAAACUAGAAGACAAGGGUGUGUAUUCAUAUAAACACAUUUUGAUGAUGCUUUCACA